GCUAUCUGAAAUUCAAUUGUGGAGGACUGGAGGCCGAUCGAUCUGGCUCCGCGUACGUUCCAUUCCCAGGGCUUUGUCUCUUCGUCUCUUCCGCUUUCUCUCUUGAAGUCCUACAAAUUAGAAAAAUCUCCAACCCAAUUAUCCUAGCAAGUGCUUAGAAGAUCUUGCGUUUAUUGAUCACAAUUAUUGUGAUUGAUCUAAAAAUAUAUUAUAGAUUAUGAUUUAUUUCAAGUUAUUAUAGAUUUGUCUUUGUCAAACAUUAGCACUUACUGUAAUAUUUUUCUGUCAUAACAUUAACUAUUUUUAUUACUUUCCUAAAAAAAACUACUUAUUACUUACUGUCGGUGAACCAUAAUCAUAUACUUGAACUUGUCCUGUGCCGCUAGCUCUGUCUCUACCUCAUGUCUUCAUGUUUCUCCAUGUAUUCGAUAACGAAAUUGUAUAUUUGCACAAGAUAAACUAACCUCAGACAGUGGAAAGCAGUGGACACACCUCAUGCGAGGCAAACUAUGAAACCGUUGCUCCAUCGAUGAACCGAAACGAAAAAAAAGACUACAAACAGAAAAAAAAGAGCUGCGAGAACCACGGACUCCAUGAAAUACGUAGUCCUUGACGCCUACAAAUAGACGAAAAUGGAGCCAGGAGCCCAUGACACACAAUCUUGUAAACGAUGCCAUUUCACCAUCAAAAUGCCACCGCUAAUAGCACGUAAACCUAACAAAAAAUAUAUUAUCAAACUAACAGCAACAAUUUAGAAUCGGAUGAAUAGAUGGCAAACAUUGAUUUGUAGUUUCCCUAACUCUCAAUCCACUGUUAGAGACCAGAAGGACAGCUGGAGAUUGAUUUUUUUUUCUACAAAAACGACGACUAGGUUUUUCUCCUCCGUUUCUCUACUCGCAGCGUGUGUAUCUCGGCUAGGUGGCUGCACUGCACCAACGUGGCUCGCAAGAAAUAUUUUUGAUAAGAUUACUCGAACAGAGUACAGGCCGCGGCCAUGGGCUGAAAAUAAAUACACGCCCACCCGGCCCAAUUUCGCCCAAGCUAGGUCCUCACACGCCCCAUCCCUCUCG
rnacentral:lncRNA from 1 species